GAGAUAAUUAGGGAAGAACGGAUCCGUCGGAGAGGGGAGAGAAGAGAGGGAGAGAGAGAGAAGGAGAAGAGAGAGGGGUCCACCGAAAGAAUGGGAUCCACUGGAAGAAUAGGGAAGAGAGAGGUGGGAGAGAAGAAGAGAGGGACAGAGAAAGAAGGAGAAGAGAGAGGGGUCCGUCAGAAGAAUGGGAUCCAUCGAAAGAAUAGGAGAGAGUGGGAGAGAGAAGA
rnacentral:lncRNA from 1 species